rnacentral:lncRNA from 1 species
AAGAAAGCAAAAUAAAGCCCAAAUCAAAAGGACAUAACACUGUAGAGCUCAGUGGUGCACACACACCAGUGCAGUAUCAUAGCAACGCUGGCUGCUGCUUUGGAAACAGGCCCCAGGCCAGGUUGCUGGUAUCAGCGGCAGUUGGCUGCCACCAGGUCUAUCCAGGCCGAGUGUCCCGUAUCCAAAAUGGGGCCAAGGUGUUGGGCUUCCAGGUUGUCGGAUACACUUUGAAGUACUUGAGGCUGGGUCCAAAACCUAAACACACACUUAUCUUCUACCUAGCGUGCAUCUUCCACAACUGCCACUGCACUGCGUUCUCACGGUGGCCCGUUCCUAUCUGUAGUGAUAAUAAAAUUUCUUUAGAAUUG